CAAAGUGUAGCUUAAACUAAAGCAUCUGGCCUACACCCAGAAGAUUUCAUAAUUAUGACCACUUUGA
rnacentral:tRNA from 1 species